AGAGGACUAAUCCUUCUCUCAGCUUAUUUGGGACGAAUCCUUCCCAAAUGGAGGCAUUAGAAAAUCUAGUAAACUUUAGAUUUUUUGUAUGUUUUUGGUAAAGUUGGCUCGAAUUGGGACUUGAAUUUGAGAUCUCACAUAUUUGGAGACGACUUAAGUGUCAUGAUGCCAAAACUCAUUGACUAGAUUUUUAUUUAUUUAUUAUUAU
rnacentral:misc_RNA from 1 species